rnacentral:rRNA from 1 species
UACGAGGGGGGCAAGCGUUGUUCGGAAUUAUUGGGCGUAAAGGGUGCGUAGGCGGUGCGGUAAGUCUGUUGUGAAAUCUCCGGGCUCAACUCGGAGUCUGCAUCAGAAACUGCCGUGCUGGAGUGUGGGAGAGGUGAGUGGAAUUCCCGGUGUAGCGGUGAAAUGCGUAGAUAUCAGGAGGAACACCUGUGGCGAAAGCGGCUCACUGGACCAUAACUGACGCUGAUGCACGAAAGCUAGGGGAGCAAACAGG